rnacentral:rRNA from 1 species
AACGCGAAGAACCUUACCUACACUUGACAUGCCUCUUGGGACUUUCAGAGAUGAUUGUCUUCGGUUCGGCCGGGGAGUGCACAGGUGCUGCAUGGCUGUCGUCAGCUCGUGUCGUGAGAUGUUGGGUUAAGUCCCGCAACGAGCGCAACCCUUAUCGUAUGUUGCCAGCAUUUAGUUGGGCACUCAUGCGAGACUGCCGGUGAUAAGCCGGAGGAAGGCGGGGACGACGUCAAGUCAUCAUGGCCCUUACGUGUAGGGCUACAAACGUGCUACAAUGGUGGUGACAAUGGGCAGCGAGGCUGUGAGGCCAAGCUAAUCCCUAAAAGCCAUCUCAGUUCAGAUUGUAGUCUGCAACUCGACUACAUGAAGUGGAAUCGCUAGUAAUCGUGAAUCAGCAUGUCACGGUGAAUACGUUCCCGGGUCUUGUACACACCG